rnacentral:rRNA from 1 species
AGUGAACGCUGGCGGUAGGCCUAACACAUGCAAGUCGAACGGCAGCACAGUAAGAGCUUGCUCUUACGGGUGGCGAGUGGCGGACGGGUGAGGAAUACAUCGGAAUCUACUUUUUCGUGGGGGAUAACGUAGGGAAACUUACGCUAAUACCGCAUACGACCUACGGGUGAAAGCAGGGGAUCUUCGGACCUUGCGCGAUUGAAUGAGCCGAUGUCGGAUUAGCCAGUUGGCGGGGUAAAGGCCCACCAAGGCGACGAUCCGUAGCUGGUCUGAGAGGAUGAUCAGCCACACUGGAACUGAGACACGGUCCAGACUCCUACGGGAGGCAGCAGUGGGGAAUAUUGGACAAUGGGCGCAAGCCUGGUCCAGCCAUACCGCGUGGGUGAAGAAGGCCUUCGGGUUGUAAAGCCCUUUUGUUGGGAAAGAAAAGCAGCAGGUUAAUACCCCGCUGUUCUGACGGUACCCAAAGAAUAAGCACCGGCUAACUUCGUG